rnacentral:rRNA from 1 species
GGGGAAUAUUGGACAAUGGGCGAAAGCCUGAUCCAGCCAUGCCGCGUGUGUGAAGAAGGUCUUCGGAUUGUAAAGCACUUUAAGUUGGGAGGAAGGGCAGUAAGUUAAUACCUUGCUAUUUUGACGUUACCAACAGAAUAAGCACCGGCUAACUUCGUGCCAGCAGCCGCGGUAAUACGAAGGGUGCAAGCGUUAAUCGGAAUUACUGGGCGUAAAGCGCGCGUAGGUGGUUCAGCAAGUUGGAUGUGAAAUCCCCGGGCUCAACCUGGGAACUGCAUCCAAAACUACUGAGCUAGAGUACGGUAGAGGGUGGUGGAAUUUCCUAGUGUAGCGGUGAAAUGCGUAGAUAUUAGGAGGAACACCGGUGGCGAAGGCGGCUUGCUGGACAAAUACUGACGCUGAGGUGCGAAAGCGUGGGGAGCAAACA